ACGGAGGGUGCAAGCGUUGUUCGGAAUUACUGGGCGUAAAGCGCGUGUAGGCGGACUCAGAAGUCGGGUGUGAAAGCCCCGGGCUUAACUCGGGAAGUGCGCUCGAAACCAUGGGUCUUGAGAACCGGAGGGGAUCGGGGAAUUCCCAGUGUAGCGCCGAACUUCGCGGAUAUUGGGAGUGACACCGGUGGCGAUGGCUACCAUCUGGAAUGCUUCUCCCGAUUAGACCCUAAACCGUGUGUAGCACACAG
rnacentral:rRNA from 1 species